rnacentral:rRNA from 1 species
AGUUCCUUGGAACAGGGCGUCAUAGAGGGUGAGAAUCCCGUACGUGGCCGGCGGUCAAUUCCAUGUGAAACCCCUUNGACGAGUCGAGUUGUUUGGGAAUGCAGCUCAAAAUGGGUGGUAAAUUUCAUCUAAAGCUAAAUACCGGCCAGAGACCGAUAGCGCACAAGUAGAGUGAUCGAAAGAUGAAAAGCACUUUGGAAAGAGAGUUAAAAAGUACGUGAAAUUGUUGAAAGGGAAGCGCUUGCAAUCAGACUUGCUCACAGGUGAUCAGCCCCCCUUCGUGGGGGGUGCACUCACCUGUGAUCAGGCCAGCAUCGGUUUUGACGGGCGGAUAAAGGCCCCAGGAAUGUAGCUCCCCUCGGGGAGUGUUAUAGCCUGAGGUACCAUGCGCCCAGUCGGGACCGAGGACCGCGCUUCGGCUAGGAUGCUGGCGUAAUGGUUGUAAGCGACCCGUCUUGAAACACGGACCAAGGAGUCUAACAUCUAUGCGAGUGUUUGGGUGAUAAACCCAUGCGCGGAAUGAAAGUGAACGGAGGUGGGAGCCCUUUUCGGGGGGCGCACCAUCGACCGAUCCAGAUGUCUUCGGAUGGAUUUGAGUAGGAGCAUAGCUGUUGGGACCCGAAAGAUGGUGAACUAUGCCUGGAUAGGGUGAAGCCAGAGGAAACUCUGGUGGAGGCUCGCAGCGGUUCUGACGUGCAAAUCGAUCGUCAAAUCUGGGUAUAGGGGCGAAAGGCAAGCUACCCGGUU